rnacentral:rRNA from 1 species
AUUGAACGCUGGCGGCAGGCCUAACACAUGCAAGUCGAACGAGUGGCGGACGGGUGAGCAAUGUCUGGGAAACUGCCCGAUGUAGGGGGAUCACUACUGGAAACGGUAGCAACUACCGCAUACCACCGGUUGUGCCCAGAUGGGAUUAGCUAGUAGGUGGGGUAUUGGCUCACCAAGGCGAUGAUCCCUAGCUGGUCUGAGUGGAUGAGCAGCCCCAAUGGAGCUGAGACACGGUCCAGACUCCUACGGGCGGUAGCAGUGGGGACUAUUUGCCCAUGGACACAAGCCUUAUCGAGCAAUGCCGCGUGGAUGAAGAAGGCCUUCGGAUUGUAAAGUACUUUCAGCGGUGAGGCGUUACCCGCCCAAGAUGCACCGGCUAACUACGUGCUAGCAGCCGCGGUAAUAC